GUUGAUUGUGGCCUGUGGAAUGUGCCACUCCUCUUUAAUGGCUGUGCGAAGAUGCUGUAUAUUGGUGGGAACUGGAACACGCUGUCGUACACUUCAAUUCAGAGCAUCCUGAACAUGGGUGACAUGUCUGGGCGGAGAGGAAGAGAGCCAGUGUGAAGCAGCAGAGUCUCAGCAGAAACCUCUUCAUCCUGGAAAGAACGGACCAAUCAGGACAGCCAUAUUUCAGUCCCGCCCCUCAGGUCCAGGAAGUAUGUCAGGAGGUGGAUGAGUUCAUCUAUGUGGCCAAUGCAGAGACAGGAAGAGGUAACACCAAGACUCCAACACAUUCCUCAUACUUGCUCCUAUUCCUAGGCCCUUGUUGCCAGCCAGAUAAUCUUGUCAAGCAAACUGACUCCUGCGCUCACAGAAUAUGAGCUAUCGCAACAUCAGGCUGGUUCCACCAGGCUACCUUCCAGGACCAGAGCCAGUGAAAGGUGGUGAGGGGGAGGCGUCUCAGAUCCAGGCAUUGGUGGACCCUGCCUAGUGUUCGUCCUCCAGAACCCUCCUGGUCCUGACUUUUGUGUCCAGAGAGGAACCAGACCCAAUCAGAACCACUAGUCCCAGUACUGCUAGAUUAAAGACCAGGAACCCCAGUGUGGAUAUUGCACAGAGGCUCUGCCUGUCCCUGCUACCCAACCUCUGUCUGUCUGUCUGUCUGUCUGUCUGUCUGUCUGUCUGUCUGUCUGUCUGUCUGUCUGUCUGUCUGUCUGUCUGUCUGUCUGUCUGUCUGUCUGCCUGCCUGCCUGCCUGCCUGCCUGCCUGCCUGCCUGCCUGCCUGCCGGAGUGCUCUGGUCUCAGACUGUAGCUAGCUGUCUAAGGAGCCUGUCUGCUGGGGUGCUCUGGUCUCAGGCAGUAGCUAGCUGUCUAAGGAGCCUGUCUGCUGGGGUGCUCUGGUCUUAGACUGUAGCUAGCUGUCAGAGGAUCCUGUCUGCUGGGGUGUUCUGGUCUCAGGCUGUAGCUAGCUGUCCAAGGAACCUGUCUGCUGGGGUGCUGUGGUCUCAGACUGUAGCUAGCUGUCAGAAGUUCCUGUCUGCUGGGGUGCUCUGGUCUCAGGCUGUAGCUAGCUGUCAGAGGAUCCUGUCUGCUGGGGUGCUCUGGUCUCAGACUGUAGCUAGCUGUCAGAGGUUCCUGUCUGCUGGAGUGCUCUGGUCUCAGGCUGUAGCUAGCUGUCUAAGGAGCCUGUCUGCUGGGGUGCUCUGGUCUCAGACUGUAGCUAACUGUCAGAGGAUCCUGUCUGCUGGGGUGUUCUGGUCUCAGGCUGUAGCUAGCUGUCCAAGGAUCCUGUCUGCUGGGGUGCUGUGGUCUCAGACUGUAGCUAGCUGUCAGAGGAUCCUGUCUGCUGGGGUGCUCUGGUCUCAGGCUGUAGCUAGCUGUCAGAGGAUCCUGUCUGCUGGGGUGCUCUGGUCUCAGGCUGUAGCUAGCUGUCAGAGGAUCCUGUCUGCUGGGGUGCUGUGGUCUCAGGCUGUAGCUAGCUGUCAGAGGAUCCUGUCUGCUGGGGUGCUGUGGUCUCAGGCUGUUGCUAGCUGUCAGAGGAUCCUGUCUGCUGGGGUGCUGUGGUCACAGGAUCCUGUCUGCUGGGGUGCUGUGGUCUCAGGCUGUAGCUAGCUGUCAGAGGAUCCUGUCUGCUGGGGUGCUGUGGUCUCAGGCUUUAGCUAGCUGUCAGAGGAUCCUGUCUGCUGGGGUGCUGUGGUCUCAGGCUGUAGCUAGCUGUCCAAGGAUCCUGUCUGCUGGGGUGCUGUGGUCUCAGGCUGUAGCUAGCCUUCAGAGGAUCCUGUCUGCUGGGGUGCUCUGUUCUCAGGCUGUAGCUAGCUGUCAGAGGAUCCUGUCUGCUGGGGUGCUCUGGUCUCAGGCUGUAGCUAGCUGUCAGAGGUUCCUGUCUGCUGGGGUGCUCUGGUCUCAGGCUGUAGCUAGCUGUCAGAGGAUCCUCUCUGCUGGGGUGCUGUGGUCUCAGGCUGUAGCUAGCUAUCUAAGGAACUACCUUCAGCACAAAUGCUUCUGAAGGAAUGUUCUACCUCUGAUGUGCCUUGUUUCAAUGAAUCGCAAAAGAAAAAGUCAUUAUUGGGUUAAUAUUAUUUAAUAACCCUGUCAAAAUGUUUUGGUGAAUAAAUUGUGGGUUGUGAAACAAAACAGAAGUGAAGAGAACUACUGUUUAACUGUAGCUACGGUACUUUAAUGAAGAUAAUGAAGGGUUUUGGUUAUGACAUUGUUUUCUUCUACUACUACUGCGUAGUUUAGAAGCAUUUAGAAUCAUAUUGAUGUGACAAGGAAUUAUGGGUAAUUAUUUUUUUAUACCUUUAUUUCAG
rnacentral:lncRNA from 1 species